rnacentral:rRNA from 1 species
GAUGAACGCUGGCGGCGUGCCUAAUACAUGCAAGUCGAGCGAACGGACGAGAAGCUUGCUUCUCUGAUGUUAGCGGCGGACGGGUGAGUAACACGUGGAUAACCUACCUAUAAGACUGGGAUAACUUCGGGAAACCGGAGCUAAUACCGGAUAAUAUUUUGAACCGCAUGGCUCACAAGUGAAAGACGGUCUUGCUGUCACUUAUAGAUGGAUCCGCGCUGCAUUAGCUAGUUGGUAAGGUAACGGCUUACCAAGGCAACGAUGCAUACCCGACCUGAAAGGGUGAUCGGCCACACUGGAACUGAUACACGGUCCAGACUCCUACGGGAGGCAGCAGUAGGGAAUCUUCCGCAAUGGGCGAAAGCCUGACGGAGCAACGCCGCGUGAGUGAUGAAGGUCCUCAGAUCGUAAAACUCUGUUAUUAGGGAAGAACAUAUGUGUAAGUAACUGUGCACAGUCUUGACGGCACCUAAUCACAAAGCCACGGCUAACUACGUGCCACCAGCCGCGGUAAUACCUAAGUGGCAAGCGUUAUCCGGAAUUAUUGCGCGUAAAGCGCGCGCACGCGGUUUUUUAGUCUGAUGUGAAAGCCCACGGCUCACCCGUGGAGGGUCAUUGGAAACUGGAAAACUUGAGUGCAGAAGAGGAAAGUGGAAUUCCAUGUGUAGCGGUGAAAUGCGCAGAGAUAUGGAGGAACACCAGUGGCGAAGGCGACUUUCUGGUCUGUAACUGACGCUGAUGUGCGAAAGCGUGGGGAUCAAACAGGAUUAGAUACCCUGGUAGUCCACGCCGUAAACGAUGAGUGCUAAGUGUUAGGGGGUUUCCGCCCCUUAGUGCUGCAGCUAACGCAUUAAGCACUCCGCCUGGGGAGUACGACCGCAAGGUUGAAACUCAAAGGAAUUGACGGGGACCCGCACAAGCGGUGGAGCAUGUGGUUUAAUUCGAAGCAACGCGAAGAACCUUACCAAAUCUUGACAUCCUUUGACAACUCUAGAGAUAGAGCCUUCCCCUUCGGGGGACAAAGUGACAGGUGGUGCAUGGUUGUCGUCAGCUCGUGUCGUGAGAUGUUGGGUUAAGUCCCGCAACGAGCGCAACCCUUAAGCUUAGUUGCCAUCAUUAAGUUGGGCACUCUAAGUUGACUGCCGGUGACAAACCGGGGGAAGGUGGGGAUGACGUCAAAUCAUCAUGCCCCUUAUGAUUUGGGCUACACACGUGCUACAAUGGACAAUACAAAGGGCAGCGAAACCGCGAGGUCAAGCAAAUCCCAUAAAGUUGUUCUCAGUUCGGAUUGUAGUCUGCAACUCGACUACAUGAAGCUGGAAUCGCUAGUAAUCGUAGAUCAGCAUGCUACGGUGAAUACGUUCCCGGGUCU